UUUGUCGCUCCCGAGCUCGUCAUUCAAGCUCUAAUGGCGGUCGCUUCCCCCUCCUCCCCCAAAACCCUAGAUCCCAAAUCCGAUAAACCCGACGCCUCAUCUGAAAAGCCCAAUCCUGAUCCCUCUUCUCAAUCCGGAAACCCUAAUCCCGAUCCGAACCCAAACCAAAACGCAAACCCUAACGCUAACCCUAAUAUCGUCGCCCCUCCUCCUCCUUCCUUUGCCCCAUCAUUCCGUCCCCUCGGAGCUCCGCCGAUGCCGCAGUACUCCGCAGUUCCAAACCCUAACCCUAGCAUCCAGCCGCCUGGGGUUUCCGCGCCAGUGACCUACAUGAUUCCAGGCGUUGCAUCUGGGGCCGGAUCGGUUACAGUUUCGGCCCCUCCGAUGAGGUAUCCGCCUCCUGGAGCUCCUCCAAUGGCGUACGGCCAAGUCCCCAAUGGAUACAUGACCGGUCAUCCGCCCGCAUGUUCAUGAUGAGAAAAAGGUGGGGCAGGCUUCCUCUUGCAAAUAUUGACAGAUCACUUCCACAGUGUGAUGUAUAGUAAGAGUUUUCCAUAUGAAAGAUUAAAGUUUAUCCAACCUACUGGACUUUAUAGAGAAUUUCCUUGACAGUGGAUCAUGUGUAGCAUCUAAGUGCUGCUUGCAAUAAUGUCCUAAGGUACAUUGUUUGCUUUUGAAUACUUUUUUUUUGUUUGCUCAUAUUCAUUUUAUCGUAUAAGUAUCUGUUACUAUGUGUUUUGAAGAAGCUUUUAGACAUAAUUUAUCUUUAAAGUUGUUAUUGUAAAAUAGUCCACUCUCCACUGCCAUGGUGUGAGCUCAGCAAGACUAAUGUACCCUUUAGUAUCUGGGGUUACUCAAGAUUAUGUUCAAGAACUUUAAUAAGGUAAGCCCACCUGUGCAGCACAUAUCUUUAUGAUUUUAUUGUAUGGUAACAUCGUUCCGCAUUUUUGUUAUAUUUUCUCUUUACAUUUGUAAAUUGAUGUAUACUUUGAAGUGACUAACCAGUUAUUAGGUUUGUGAAUAUGUUCUGACAAGCGCGCAUAGUUAUUUGCUCUGCUUUUGCAGGAAUUCCUCGUUAUCCUGGACCAUACCCACCUAUGAUUCGCCCUGGCUUUCCUCCUCGUCCGCUGCCUCCAAUGGGUGUGAUUCCACAAAUUCUUCGACCUCCUAUUCCUGGAAUUCGUGGUCCUCCUGUGGUUUCUCCAGUUGUCAGGCCUGUUGUUCCUGCUGUUGCAACUGAGAAACCACAAACAACAGUGUAUGUUAGCAAGAUAGCUCCAACUGUUGAUAAUGAUUUUCUCCUCUCUCUUCUUCGACUUUGUGGACCAGUGAAGAGUUGGAAACGUGCUCAAAAUCCCUCUGAUGGCUCUCCUACAAGUUUUGGCUUUUGUGAAUUUGAAGCUGCUGAAGGAAUUCUUCGAGCUCUACGUCUGCUAACUAAGUUGAACAUUGAUGGACAAGAGCUGGGGGUAAGUUGGUUUCUCUGUCUCUUUAGAUAUAAUUUUUGGC